rnacentral:rRNA from 1 species
UGGGGAAUAUUGGACAAUGGGGGCAACCCUGAUCCAGCCAUGCCGCGUGAGUGAUGAAGGCCUUCGGGUUGUAAAGCUCUUUUGGCGGGGACGAUGAUGACGGUACCCGCAGAAUAAGCCCCGGCUAACUUCGUGCCAGCAGCCGCGGUAAGACGAAGGGGGCAAGCGUUGUCCGGAUUUACUGGGUGUAAAGGGCGCGCAGGCGGGAUAAAAAGUCAGUGGUGAAAUCCUACAGCUUAACUGUAGAACUGCCUUUGAUACUUUUAUCCUUGAGUUCGGGAGAGAGAGACGGAAUUCCAGGUGUAGUGGUGAAAUACGUAGAUAUCUGGAAGAACACCAGUUGCGAAGGCGGUCUCUUGGUCCGACACUGACGCUGAGGCGCGAAAGCGUGGGGAGCAAAC